rnacentral:tRNA from 3 species
GAGUCGCUAGCUCAGUCGGUAGAGCACAUCCCUUUUAAGGAUGGGGUCCUGGGUUCGAACCCCAGGCGACUCA